UGGAAAAUGACCCCAGGCCAGGUAGGUAGGUGGGUGGGUGGAAAAUGACCCCAGGCCAGGUAGGUAGGUGGGUGGGUGGAAAAUGACCCCAGGCCAGGUAGGUAGGUGGGUGGGUGGAAAAUGACCCCAGGCCAGGUAGGUAGGUGGGUGGGUGGAAAAUGACCCCAGGCCAGGUAGGUAGGUGGGUGGAAAAUGACCCCAGGCCAGGUAGGUAGGUGGGUGGAAAAUGACCCCAGGCCAGGUAGGUAGGUGGGUGGAAAAUGACCCCAGGUC